UGUUAUAGAGACUUAUAGCUUAUAGUUGUGACCAUCAUGUGUGAAUAUUACAGUCACCAGAGGUCAAAAGGUUUCUGUCUGGCGAGGUUAGCAUUUCUAGUAGUUUACAUAAGUCCUGUGUGCUCUGCCCGGUCAUGGAAGGAAAGUCACUUUUACCGACUGGAGAGAGAUUUACUGACUAACUACAGCCACACUGUGAGGCCAGUCAUGGAGGUCAACACACCAACCAACAUCUCAGUCACCUUCACACUCAUGUGUAUCUACGAGGUCGACGAAAUAGCACAAGCCAUGACCCAGAAUUCCUUCGUGACUUUGACCUGGUUCGACGAAUUCCUGCAGUGGGAUCCACAGGAGUAUGGAGGAAUACAAACCACAGAACUAUCCAAUCGACAGGUCUGGCUGCCGUUAAUCCACGUUCUAAAUACGGUAUCCGGCUCCCUUAUAUUUUCACCUGAUGAGAUGUCAAAAAUAAUCUUCAAGUCUAACGGCCACGUGACCUGGUUUCAUCAAGAUGUGUGGAAAACAAUAUGUCGGAUUGAUAUUACAUUCUUUCCGUUUGACACCCAACAAUGCGGCUUUAGUGUCGCCCUGUGGACAUCUUUGAAAUCACAGGCUCUGUUUACUGAUGUCUCUGUCAGAAAAGAUGAAAUCGCCUUCACUGAAAACUCUGAAUGGGUCCUCCUGUCUUUCGAAGCAACAACUGGAGAAACUACUUAUUACAAUGAAACUUACUCCAGUGUUACAAUUAACUUUUAUUUAAAAAGAAGAAGAAAGUUCCACACGCUAACUCUGAUGGUUCCCAAUGUCACCCUGGCGCUGCUGUCGUCUCUGGUGUUCGUACUUCCGGCGGACUCCGGGGAGAAAGUGUCUUUUAUCAUGGGACUUCUUCUGGCGACUGGUGUCAGCAUCACCGUGUUGAUGGAUGUAAUGCCGAGAUCUUCUUUACACAUCUCCUUCUUAAUGAUAUAUAUUACUACAGUGAGUAUGACUACAGCACUAAGUGUUGUUGCUUCUGCGUAUAUAACCUCCUGCUGCUCUACUGAUGGACCGACUGAUGCGAAGACAAUCACGAUUGUCAGGGUUCUAUGUAGGAUCACCGGAACAGACUUUCCAAUUUUGAAGAACAGAACAGAAAACAUUCAGCAACUGGAAGUCAAUGGCUGCAGCAAAACGCUUCAGACGUAUGAAAUGUACAUUAAUUCUGCCUCCGACACAAAGGAAGAUAACUGCCUCACAGGGGAGACAACAAAAGAAAGGAUCACUUGGAUGGAUCUGGCUGCUUCGUUGAACUUAGUCUGUUUCCGUAUAUCAUUUAGUGUUGUUGUUGUGACAACAAUAAUAUUGAUUAUUGUUCUUUUGCUCGGAUCGUCGUAAACUUGGAUAUCUGUUGUUACUCACGACAAGGAACUGGAAAGUGUUUAUACUUCUUAAUAUCUGGUUGUCAUCUUCUAUGAAAGACUUUGAUGAUACCAAUACUCAAGUUGUCUUGAAGAAGGUUUAAUAACACCUCUUCCUUCUCUGAAUUUUGGUCUUUUUCUUUCUCCUAACGAUUUCUUGAGCUCUUUUGUAGAUCGUGCAUAGAAAGCUUGAUGUUCUUGUCUAUUUUUCAAAACUUUAUUGGUGGAGGACAAGAGCAGGUUUUCUCGUGUUGUGUCCAUCUUCUCAUGAGUCACUGGGGCAGCCUAGAGUACUGUCCAGGCUCUGUACAUCAUGAAAACACUUCUGAAAGUGUCUGAUAUCUUUGGCGAUGACAGGUAUGUCCUGUCAAGAGAAUUAUUUCAAUUCCCAUUAAGUCUCCGAUUCUAUGUACCUGCAUACAAAAUAUUAUUGUGUGUAAAUUAAUGAAGCUGUCUAAACCAUGAAUGUAUGAGUCUAUUUCGUGGAUAUGAGCAUGUCAUGCUAUUAUUUGUGCUUUCUUAUCGAGGUGCUCUGAAUUGCCCUCUGAGAUAAAGAUAGUGUUAUCCAUCUUAAAUAAGAAUAUUUGUGAAAACGUGCGCUGAUUCCCUCUGUACUAACAAAAGAACAGAUUCUCGACAGAGAGGAAGUUGGUUAUCAUAAGUAACGCAGUUUGAAAGGUAUGGGAUGCAACCCAUAAAUAUCUUCGUGCAGGUCUUCACAAACAUUAUUAUUUACGAUAAGAUGGUUUUCUUUCGGGGAAGAUCUACACAAACAUGUCGGCCUUCAUGAAGACGACUAAAACUAUGCUUUAAUCAAAAUUGUAUGUAAAGGAUUAAUUUAAAGCCGAAGUUUUCAUUGGAUAUAAAGGCUGUAAUUAUAUAUAAUUGAAACAGCUUCUAUAGAGAAUCACAAACAGAGCUAUCACAGAAGUAGAUACUAUUUUGACUUAGAAAUCUUUUCAAGAUGAAUAAAUCUUUUUCAUUAACAAUAAAUUUUAAGAUCUCACUAUGUUAUUAUUUCUAAAUAAACUAGAAAUUUAAAAUGUAAAAGACUUUAUUUUUGUGAGUUUAAAGUAUGCAAAAUGUUUGCUUUUUAAGUGAAAAUAAAAAAAACAAACUUGCAAACUGCAGUCGUUAUGUGUCUGCUUGGCAAGUCAGAAGGUGCCGCCACCACACUAUGAGCAAUACCGUCGCACUAGCCUCAAUAAAUACUUUCAUUUGUUUGCAUUUUUUGCAUGUGUUUUGAAAUUCUUCCUCCAAAAAAAUUACUGAAGCAGAGUUAAGAGCUGAUGCAUUAGGAAUAUUCCCUCGCUGGACAAUAACACGAGUCAGAUGUCAGAAAAACAGACUCCUGGGACUCACCCACAUCCAAGCUGCAAAAUGACAUGGACUUGCCUGAAUGGCAUGACUAAUGGUCAGUCAUAGCAGGUUUUGCAAAAUGGCUUGAAACAGCAAAACAUUGCAGUCUGGGAUACAUGUUUCGUUCUGCAAUAUUAAGAGCAAAGCUGUAGAACAGGCCUGUCACUUUUAUUAAUCUACUUAUCAUUUUCAGUGGCUUGGAAAUGCCAUUACUUGAUUCAACGGGAAUCGCAGAAACACUCACGGAACAUUACAACAAUUCUCUAUGGACAUCACUAAGCGAAUUGUCGAGGCUAAAUAUUUAAUUUCUAAUCGCCAAAUGCGAAACAUUCAUCAAAACGUGUUUGCAUGAUGGUCGCAGAAUAACUCUUUAAAAUAUCAGCCUCGGAUGCAAAAGAAUGCACUAUUACCAUUGAGUGGCAAGCUGGUAACUGUCUACACUUGCUCGUAGAUUGUAUUGGAUUCAAUUUGAGUAAGUCAUGUCCCCAUCCCCGAGAAACUGCUGCAAGAAUGUAAAAGUUCGAACUGUGGUGUGGUUAGUUUAUUUGUUUCUAACGACGAGCCCCAUUGGAGCUGUGUGGGAGAGGAAUCACUAUUACCGUCUGGAAGAAGAUUUGCUCACCAACUACAGUCCAACGGUCAGACCAGUCCUGGAUGUCAACACAGUAACUAAUGUCUCCAUCAGCUUCCUUGUCCUCUGCGUCUAUGAGGUCGACGAAAUGGUCCAAGCCAUGACACAGAACUCCUACAUGGCUUUGACAUGGUUUGAUGAACUUCUGCAGUGGGAUCCACAGGAGUACGGAGGAGUAGCUUCUACGGAGUUUUCCAGCCAGAAGGUUUGGCUGCCGUUUAUGGAAAUUUUAAACACGGCGUCCGGGUCCUGGAUUGUCUCCAUUGAUGAUAUGUCGAGAGUAAUCGUAAAGGCAAAUGGCCACGUGACCUGGUUUCAUCAAGAUGUGUGGACCACCAUAUGUCAUAUGGAUAUAACCUACUUUCCAUUUGACACUCAACAAUGCAACUUCAGUGUCAGCAUGUGGACUUCUUCAAAAUCACAGGUUCAGUUUGUACACAUCGACCCUCGACAAGAAGAAGGAUAUUUUAUUGAGAACUCUGAGUGGAGUCUCUUGUCUCUCAAAGCAGCAAUCAGAGAAGCUCCGUAUGACAACACAAGCUAUUCAUCCUUUACUGUGACAUUUUACCUGAAAAGAAGAAGAGUGUUUCACACCCUGACUCUUAUCGUCCCUAACGUUAUCCUGGCUUUGCUGGCGUCCCUGGUGUUUCUACUUCCGGUGGAUACCGGGGAGAAAAUGUCAUUUAUAAUGGGACUGCUUCUGGCAACUGGUGUCAGCAUCACAGUUCUGAUGGACAUCAUGCCGAGAUCUUCAUUAAACCUGUCCUUCCUAAUGAUCUACAUCACUGCACUGAGUAUGACCACAGCUCUGGCUGUAGUUGCCUCUGCUUACAUCAUCUACUGCUGUUCGCUUGAUGGACCAGUCGGUGCCAAGACAACUCGACUUGUAAAAUUUAUGCUUAAGCUUGCCGGAAAAGACCUACAUUUUUUUAAAAGUAGAGCAGAACAUUUUCAGCAUUUAGAAGUUCACGACUGCGGGGAAGCCUCCCCGACUUACGAGGACUACAUCGAGCACAACGACGUCGGUGCGAGGGACAACCUCCGCGACACAAAGGGAGACAACUUCACUUCAAACAACACAGCGGCAGGGAAAGACAAUCAAGUAAAGAUUACCUGGGUGGAUGUGGCUUCUGCUUUAAACCUAGUCUGUUUUCGUAUCACUAUUAGUGUAGUUGUCGGAAUGACAGUCAUAUUGAUAUUUGUUCUUUUACUCGGAUCGUCUUAAACAAACAGCUUCUGGUCAAGAGCUGGGUAACUUGCCGAAGAAGAUGCUGCAUAGAAAGCAAACAAUAUUGGACAUUGUUCUUUGCUUGCUCGUUAUCCUAAUAAGUACAAAACAAGAAACAUUAAUAAAUGACAUCCUUUAUUUCCUGACUAUUUCUAAACAGCGUUUAUUGUUUACUUCAGAUUAUUCAAUAUUAUUAUGAAAACUAACCAAUAGAUGGCACUUGGCUUAGUAAAUGCCUAAAACACAUUGUAAUCUGGUAAACAAUGAAGCAAAAUCCCGAUUGCAUUCGGUAAAAGACAUGAAGUGUAAAAACCCAUCAUCACACUAAGUCAGUCAGUUCUUUUUCAAGUGUUUUCAUAUCCCCAUAUUCAGGACAAGAUGGAUCCUCAGUUAAAGUGAAGAGACAAAAGACAAAUAUUUGGGUUUUAAUGAAGGUCAGUUCUAUCAGUAUGGACAGCUCUUGUGUGUUGUAGUGAGAAAACGCGUGGGAUAAAAAGACCAUUCCAGAAUGUAUUGCACUUAAUGUAUGCUAGUCUAGAGAAAAGUAUACUGUGGAGUCGAUGAAGGUUACUUUCGUUGUUACAAAAUAUACAUUGUAGAUUAAUUGAUACGAAGGUAAAAAAGGAUGGAGAAAGAAAAAGACUUACGCAGCAGAAAUAGAAACGAAAACUGCAGACAGUUAUACAAAGCCAUUCAUCCGAGACGAGAAACGAAAACAGAGAUACGUUUAACGGCAAGGAAAAAAAUUGAAAACAGAAAAAUUCUGUUGAGUCUUUUGCGAAUAAACUAUCAAUGUUUUAAGAAAGCUUCUCUAAAGCAUAACUAAUUCAGUCAUCGACUAAUGAGCACUCACAUUAAGGAAGUCAUUAAUCCACAUUCUAUCUCUCUCCUUCUCUCUCUCUCUCUCUCUCUCUCUUUCUUUCUCUCUCUAAGAUUACUCGACUAAGUAGAAGAAGAAAUAUGUAUGAGACGUGUGUGGCUGUAAACAGGAAACAGCUGACAGUGAGCUUACUUUGAUUAGAGAGAUUUCUGUUAUCACCACACACGUUUCCUUAUUGGGGCUUUAGGUAUUAACUCAGUCAGGCUGUCUUUUGUAAAGAGUUUUAGAAUCAUUUAUGAAAAAGGUAAGCAUUGAUUAACCCAAUGAAGGGUGAGGUCAAUUUCUAAUGAUUUGGUGACACCUGCAAGAAGUAAGUAAAAUAUACAGGGAUCUAAACAAGACACAAAAGGUGUGGAAACGACAUUGAUGUCAGAUACUGUGAUUAAUAAGCACACCUACCCACACAAACACACGUUUAGUAGAAAGAUAUAAAAGGGUGUGUGAUGGCAUCAC